UGGGGAAUCUUGCGCAAUGGGCGAAAGCCUGACGCAGCGACGCCGCGUGGGUGAUGAAGGCCUUCGGGUUGUAAAGCUCUUUGGGUGGAGACGAAUAAGUCGUAGCUAACACCUACGAUGAUGACGGUAUCCACAUAACAAGCACCGGCUAACUCUGUGCCAGCAGCCGCGGUAAGACAGAGGGUGCAAACGUUGUUCGGAAUUACUGGGCGUAAAGCGCAUGUAGGCGGCCAAGCAGGUCGGAUGUGAAAUCCCUCGGCUCAACCAAGGAAGUGCAUUCGAAACCGCAUGGCUAGAGUCCCGGAGAGGAAGGUGGAAUUCUCGGUGUAGAGGUGAAAUUCGUAGAUAUCGAGAGGAACACCUGUGGCGAAAGCGGCCUUCUGGACGAGGACUGACGCUGAGAUGCGAAAGCGUGGGGAGCAAACAGGAUUAGAUACCCCCGUAGUCC
rnacentral:rRNA from 1 species